rnacentral:other from 1 species
ACAAAUUAGGAAUAAUUAUAUAUAUUGUUUUAUAGUUUCCUUUUUUAUGCAUCACAUAUAUUGCAACAUAAUACGCAUACAAGAGUAUGCAUAAGGAGGAAGCAACAUGGCACAAGGUACAGUAAAAUGGUUUAACGCAGACAAAGGUUUUGGAUUUAUCACUCAAGAGGACGGAUCAGACGUAUUCGCUCACUUUUCAGCAAUCCAAGGUGACGGAUUCAAAACUUUAGAAGAAGGUCAAGCAGUGACUUUCGACGUUGAAGAUGGUCAACGUGGACCUCAAGCAACAAACAUCGUUAAAGCAUAAUUCUUGCUUAUUGAGCAUCUGAGAUAUUUUAUCUCAGGUGCUUUU